CAUGCAAGUCGAGGGGCAGCAUGAUUUGUAGCAAUACAGAUUGAUGGCGACCGGCGCACGGGUGAGUAACGCGUAUGCAACUUACCUAUCAGAGGGGGAUAGCCCGGCGAAAGUCGGAUUAAUACCCCAUAAAACAGGGGGUCCCGCAUGGGAAUAUUUGUUAAAGAUUCAUCGCUGAUAGAUAGGCAUGCGUUCCAUUAGGCAGUUGGCGGGGUAACGGCCCACCAAACCGACGAUGGAUAGGGGUUCUGAGAGGAAGGUCCCCCACAUUGGUACUGAGACACGGACCAAACUCCUACGGGAGGCAGCAGUGAGGAAUAUUGGUCAAUGGCCGAGAGGCUGAACCAGCCAAGUCGCGUGAAGGAAGAAGGAUCUAUGGUUUGUAAACUUCUUUUAUAGGGGAAUAAAGUGGAGGACGUGUCCUUUUUUGUAUGUACCCUAUGAAUAAGCAUCGGCUAACUCCGUGCCAGCAGCCGCGGUAAUACGGAGGAUGCGAGCGUUAUCCGGAUUUAUUGGGUUUAAAGGGUGCGUAGGUGGUGAUUUAAGUCAGCGGUGAAAGUUUGUGGCUCAACCAUAAAAUUGCCGUUGAAACUGGGUUACUUGAGUGUGUUUGAGGUAGGCGGAAUGCGUGGUGUAGCGGUGAAAUGCAUAGAUAUCACGCAGAACUCCGAUUGCGAAGGCAGCUUACUAAACCAUAACUGACACUGAAGCACGAAAGCGUGGGGAUCAAACAGGAUUAGAUACCCUGGUAGUCCACGCAGUAAACGAUGAUUACUAGGAGUUUGCGAUACAAUGUAAGCUCUACAGCGAAAGCGUUAAGUAAUCCACCUGGGGAGUACGCCGGCAACGGUGAAACUCAAAGGAAUUGACGGGGGCCCGCACAAGCGGAGGAACAUGUGGUUUAAUUCGAUGAUACGCGAGGAACCUUACCCGGGUUUGAACGUAGUUUGACCGG
rnacentral:rRNA from 1 species